rnacentral:rRNA from 1 species
GCGCGAAAACUUCACACUGCAGGAAACUGUGAUGAGGGAACUCCUAGUGCAUGCACUAUGUGUAUGUAGAUCCUACUCUUAAUCAGUAGAGGGAAAGGGCUGGGAAAGACCGGUGCCAGCCGCCGCGGUAAUACCGGCAGCUCAAGUGGUCGUCGCUUUUAUUGGGCCUAAAACGUCCGUAGCCUGUUUGGUAAAUCUGUGGGUAAAUCAAUCCGCUCAACGGAUUGAAUUCUGCAGAGACUGCCAGACUAGGGACCGGAGAGGUGUGGGGUACUCGAGGGGUAGGGGUAAAAUCCUGUCAUCCUUCGAGGACCACCAGUUGCGAAGGCGCCACACUGGAACGGAUCCGACGGUCA